AAUGUAUGACGCUGUUGACUUUUUGUUUAACGUUUGAUCAUUCGUUUUAUUUAAAAAAAUUAUGCAAUUAUUAUUUCUUUUAUUGUGACUUGAUUCAUCAUCAAAUGUUCUUUAAGCAUGACAUAAAUAUUUUCAUAUUUGCACAAAAAAUUUAAAUAAAACGAAUGAUCAAACGUUGGUCAAAAUACGGAGGG
rnacentral:pre_miRNA from 1 species